UAGCAUUUUAAGACAGUUUUUGAACAAUUGAAAAAGUCGUCAAAAUUGACCAAAAUGGUAAGGGGUGGUUGCAAGGCCAACGCCAUCCAGAAUAUGGAGUCCUAAUCAUUUUGUUCUAUUAUUGCUAGCCAAGGAACUGCCAACGAUGUCAUUUAUUGUUAUCAGUUAACUGGACUUUGUGAGAGUUUUCUUGCAAAAUGUUUGCCAAGGUGGCGAUCGAAGGUGGACAGCAAGAUCGAAGCUCAACAAGAUUGAAGAUUGUUCGAGGAAGAAGGAGUUCGCCGUUGACUAAAAGGUUUAUCUGAACAGCUAGUUGUCAAGAUGAACGUGAAGAGAAGAAAGAUGAAAUAGAAGACUCGCCCGGCCAAAUUCAAAAUGGCGAUGCCGAAGAAAACCAUCCACGUGGACCGUUCGCGGACCUUUCUGAGCAAGAUUGUUGUGCUGUCUGGUCAAAGUUAAGUAUUUUACUUUGAUGUUUGUGUGCCUUCUGCUAAUUGUUGGCCAGAAAUAACAAGAAGCCAUAUACAAUAUGAAAUAUUCUGCGUACAAGGUUAUUUAAAGUUUCUAGCUUAAUUCUGCCUGCAAUGAUGAUAAUUUUUUACUGAAAAUUUAUGUCAUGAGCAAUUUCCGCACCCAUAGACUGAAGCAGAGCUGAACAUUUUGUCAUUAACGUUUAUCUCAACAGCCAGUUAUCAAGACGAACGUCAAGAGAACAGUUGAAAUAGAAAA